GUCUGACACGCACGCCGUCCGACCGAUCAAACAGACACGCAGAUAACGGCGAAGCGGGGGCUCAGGAUUGGAGCCGGAGAUGAUGUGGAGGAACUUGAGCUGUCCAUUGAUUAUAAUGAGGACUGCUGAAGAUCACAUGAUGAGGAAUGAAAGGGAGAGGUGGUGUAACAUGCCUUUGGUUGGUGCCUUUUUGACCUCACCCAGUCAAGACCUCCACAAUCAGUCCUGAGCGGAGGUCUGUUUGGGAGGAGACAAAGUCGUCUUCCUCGGGUCCGAGCGGGGAUGUGAGCGAUCCGAAGAGGAGGACGGGAAGAGCUGCGUGUGGCAGGUGGUACAGGAGGAGCGAGUGGAAUCAAUGGGCUCCGUAGCGCUAAACGAAUCAGUAAAGAUUCCAAACAGCAGCUGCUCCCAUCUGUCAUCGGCGCUGUUUGGCUCCCCAAGUUCUCACCUGUCACUCAGCAUGAAAUCCCAUGCAUCUAAAUGACAACGGGGUAAAAAAGGUAUUUGGGAUGAACAGUGACAACUGACCUCGUUGCCGUGACGAUUAUUUACGUCCAGACUUGAAUGUUCAGGUGUCUGCAUGUGCUAACGGCUUCUGCAGGGAUGUCGCUAUCUUCCAUCUGCAUAGAAUGAGGGAUAAUUAACAUCUUCACCUGGCUCCUGGUUUGUUCAUUUAAAAAGCCUAAUUAAUCACGGGGACAACGCUGGGACUGGAGUCGGCACCGCCAAGCGUGAAAUUACCUUUCUCAGAGAUGUCCAUAAACAGCGAUCCAGCCAAGCUACCCUCUGUAGCCAGGCCUGCCAUCUUUUUUUUUUUUUAAUCUCACACUGUACACGAGGAGAGCGAGGAGAACCGGUGCAAAGGUGGGGAACAUCAACGCUGUUGAAGUGCAGCAGCAGAUGUGAGGGAGCGGAGCCGGGCUCGGCUUUGUGAUGUCCCACUGUGUAGGCCGCCCCGUGGUCCUGCUCGGCUGCGUAAAAAUAAUAUUAGCUGGUGGGCCAGGUAUCCGCAACACCUACUUCUUGGCGAGGCUCUCUGGCCCGAAUCGA
rnacentral:lncRNA from 1 species